GACGAACCGUGCAAACGUUUGUUCGGAAUUACUGGGCGUAAAGCGCGUGUAGGCGGCUAAGUAAGUCGGGCGUGAAAUCCCACGGCUCAACCGUGGAAGUGCACUCGAAACUGCAUAGCUAGAGUCCUGGAGAGGAAGGUGGAAUGCUUGGUGUAGAGGUGAAAUUCGUAGAUAUCAAGCGGAACACCGGUGGCGAAGGCGGCCUUCUGGACAGUGACUGACGCUGAGACGGCGAAAAGCGUGGGGAGCAAACAGGG
rnacentral:rRNA from 1 species